rnacentral:rRNA from 1 species
GGAAUAUUGCACAAUGGGGGAAACCCUGAUGCAGCCAUGCCGCGUGUGUGAAGAAGGCCUUCGGGUUGUAAAGCACUUUCAGCGAGGAGGAAAGGUUGGCGCCUAAUACGUGUCAACUGUGACGUUACUCGCAGAAGAAGCACCGGCUAACUCCGUGCCAGCAGCCGCGGUAAUACGGAGGGUGCAAGCGUUAAUCGGAAUUACUGGGCGUAAAGCGCACGCAGGCGGUUGGAUAAGUUAGAUGUGAAAGCCCCGGGCUCAACCUGGGAAUUGCAUUUAAAACUGUCCAGCUAGAGUCUUGUAGAGGGGGGUAGAAUUCCAGGUGUAGCGGUGAAAUGCGUAGAGAUCUGGAGGAAUACCGGUGGCGAAGGCGGCCCCCUGGACAAAGACUGACGCUCAGGUGCGAAAGCGUGGGGAGCAAACAGGAUUAGAUACCCGUG